rnacentral:rRNA from 1 species
CGGACGGGUGAGUAAUGCUUGGGAAUCUGGCUUAUGGAGGGGGAUAACUACGGGAAACUGUAGCUAAUACCGCGUAAUAUCUUCGGAUUAAAGGGUGGGACUUUCGGGCCACCUGCCAUAAGAUGAGCCCAAGUGGGAUUAGGUAGUUGGUGGGGUAAAGGCCUACCAAGCCGACGAUCUCUAGCUGGUCUGAGAGGAUGACCAGCCACACUGGAACUGAGACACGGUCCAGACUCCUACGGGAGGCAGCAGUGGGGAAUAUUGCACAAUGGGGGGAACCCUGAUGCAGCCAUGCCGCGUGAAUGAAGAAGGCCUUCGGGUUGUAAAGUUCUUUCGGUGAUGAGGAAGGUGUUUGUUUUAAUAGAGCAAGCAAUUGACGUUAGUCACAGAAGAAGCACCGGCUAACUCCGUGCCAGCAGCCGCGGUAAUACGGAGGGUGCGAGCGUUAAUCGGAAUGACUGGGCGUAAAGGGCACGCAGGCGGUGACUUAAGUGAGAUGUGAAAGCCCCGAGCUUAACUUGGGAAUUGCAUUUCAUACUGGGUCGCUAGAGUACUUUAGGGAGGGGUAGAAUUCCACGUGUAGUGGUGAAAUGCGUAGAGAUGUGGAGGAAUACCGAAGGCGAAGGCAGCCCCUUGGGAAUGUACUGACGCUCAUGUGCGAAAGCGUGGGGAGCAAACAGGAUUAGAUACCCUGGUAGUCCACGCUGUAAACGCUGUCGAUUUGGGGAUUGGGCUUUAAGCUUGGUGCCCGUAGCUAACGUGAUAAAUCGACCGCCUGGGGAGU